AUCAAAAACUCAAAAGGCAAGAAAGCCUUAUAAUUCAGUUCCUCUUUCUGCAUCUUUCACAAGCGGCCUGCUGGCAGGUUUGGAAGGUGGCGCUGGAGACAGCCUGGAAUGAGCAAGCCCAGUGGGGUUGGAGGCUCCUGGCUCAGAAGAGGAGGGACUGAGAUUCAGAAGGCUUCACCUGGAUAAGGGAUCCAGCUCACAAGUUCAUCCUUACAAGGAUUUUCAGUUCUGCUAACAACACCUCUCUCUGUGGUUCUUGAAAGCUCUGGUGUAGGAAGAGUCACCAAAAACAAGCGGACGUUUCUCAGCGCUUCUCAGCUGAUGGAACUGUUCCCAGCAGCCUGGUGCUCAGCCCGAGGAGGUGGCCGGCCCUCAUCUGGGUGAUUCCAUUCCCCAGUCACUGUUUGGUCCAGGCGGCUCUGGUAUUUUUCCUCCCUUCUCCCGGGGCGGCUCCCGGGGCGGCCUCCAGAGCACCCAGACAGCCGCCGCCACAUCCCGCUGCUUCAGAAGCGGAAGUAAGGCGCAUUUAGGACCUUUCUGGGUGAGUGACAGCAUGUGAGAUGAGAUUAACAAAAUGCCAGCGCUUCGGGGAAACCAGACUUUCCCUGUCACCUCUUCUCCACCUUUCCCACGACACAGAAGAUGGGCCAGGCUGAUGUCGGUCUGUGCAUCCGGGUCGUGUCAGCCUCGAAUGUGAGACAGUGGGCGCUGGCCCGGAGAAGAAAAAUCCUGAUCUUCAGAAUGCUUUCCGAGCUAUUCACAAAAGGGGUUAUAAUUUAACUGAAUGAGACAAACUUGGCUCCAGAAUUGCACUGAAGUGGAGGCUCCGUGAUUUAACCUUCCCUCUACUGGGAGGUAAAUAUUCAGCACGCACGAAGGUUGGUAAAAUCUUUCACCGCACCCACGAAGGUUGGUAAAAUCUUUCACCGUUAUAAAUAAUGCUGUGGGCAACAUCUUUGUACAGUUUUCUGUCUCAGGUUAUUUCUGCAGAACAGUUUCGUGGAAGGGAAUUAGGGGUAAAAAAAAUAAUGAAUGUUUGAAAAGUCUGUAGGACUUUCAACAAACGGCUUGGAUGGGCACAAAGAGAGGAGUUUUGCUGUUUUGGGUUUUAAAUGGAGAUUCAAAAUGGGAAGAGACCCCAGUUCCCAGCAGCUUUAGAACUAGUUGGUAUUUUUUUCCGAUUUUUUUCCCCCUGGCCUUUCACAGUACUCUAGUGAUUCUGGGGAUGAAGUUUAUGAUGCAUUUUAAGAGAAAGCAAAAAAAAAAAAAAAAAAAAAAAAAAGUUGAUAAAUUCCUCGCUAGGUUUUCUCAUGUUACCAUAGUCAUAGCAGAGAUGUGAUAAGAAGUCCAUGAAGUCCCCUCACUCAGAUAUUCACAGGUUAAACAGGGGUCUAAGACCGGGUCAGGACUAUUAGCACAACUUCCUUGUUUACAUAUAUGACAGAAGGAAAGGUAGGGAUGUAACCUUGGUGGGGCUUUGGCUGGAAGAUGUGGGGAGAAAGAAAAUAAGGUGGAAUUAUCAGCCUGAGAAUGAAGUGGAUGCCUCUAUUUGUAGAAGUUAAUGUUUACCAGUAUCCUUGAUUUUUACUCUCCCCCGUUUCUAGAAGCUCUUUCCCCAAAUAAGAAAUUAUUGAAACUUCAUUUCUCAAGAUGGUGUGGGGGAGACAUGUGACCAUCCCACUCUCUGUUAAAUGAAGUGGUUUAUUUUCAGGUGUAUGAGAAAAAAGAAAAGAACUUUCUGCUUCUGUGGAGAUGUUAGAAUCAUCCCAGAAAUUUAAACAUUCAUUGAGGCAGAAACUUUCCCGAGGUAAUCAUGCAUUUGCGUCUCCCAAUCAAUUAUCAGCAAAUAUUCCUGACAUGAUUCUUAGGCGUGAGAACUGUAGGUUUUUGUUUCAAUGGCUAAUUGCUGAACCAUUGCAGAGCUAUAAAUUAAGUGGCAUUUAAACUCUUAAACCCAUUGUUUGGGCCACAAGGUACUAACAGAGAUCUUCUAUAAGAGGAGUAGAGACUUCAGGAUGGCUACAGGCGGAAGCCAAGAGCAUUCAUUCUUUUUGGUUUAAGCAAUUUAGAAAAUAUUACGGGCUUUGGGUUUCUUUGUUUUUCUGAUAGUCACGUUCCAAGUAACUAAUUUUUAAGUGAAAAGAAAGCUACUUUGCAGCAUCUUUAUCUGGAUUUACAUCAACAUUCUUUUUAUUUAAUAGAAUAUGGUAAAUACGCCAUGAGUACACUUAAUGUAGCUGCCAUCUGAGAAACACAAGGUAAUUCCAUAAGCUAUAGACACAACGUUUGGUGUUACCAUUAUUUAAGACAAGUUGUGCUAUGUUAACAUUCAGCUGUGACUCGAUCUGCCAAUGAAGUCAUCCUAGAUUAUUUGAAGGACCAUGGAUAUAGAUGUCCUUGAGGAUUUUUUGUCUUCUUCCUUUUCUAUAUCAAGAUUAUUGAGUUUUGUUUUGAGUACUCAGUAUUUUAAGGGAGUAUAUAAGUUAGCCCAUAAGCUGCUGAAUGGUGAGAAAUAAAUACUUGGAGAGGAUUAGGAGAUAAUGGACUCUGAUAGUGGUAGGAGGCACUGCAUACAGAAUGCAGUAGCUAAAUGUAACUUUGAGUUAUCUCCCAUUUGUGAAAGUUGGGUCACGUUAUGUGGGGCAUCUCUAUGUAUGGAAAGAAUUGUUUUUGUGUAACAGUACCUGCCCACCUACAUCCUCUUCUAAGGAAACCACCCUGCUCAAAUCACUCAUUGGAGUCAUGGCGGCUAUAUCACUGGAAUCCCAAAAGGAUGGGACGAGGAGGGUGGGGAUGAAAAAAAAAUCAUAAAUAAUGGCUGAUAAUUUCUCAAAUUUGGCAAUUUGGCAAAAAAUAGGGUAAAUAUAGUAGACUUUCCCUCUCUUCUGAAAUUUCCUAAAUUAUGUUUGACAUUUGAAGCACAAAGUAUAACAGUGUGAUGUGGCUCACAAUGUGUGUGGAGAAACUGUUUAAGAUAAUUAUAAAUGGGAGAGGAGAAAGGCACUGGAAGGGAGGAAAGUUUUAAACCUCAAACUGGUGUAAUGUGGACAACAGUAGAUGUUGGUGGUUGUGGAAUCGUUCUGUAUCUUGAUGACAGUGAUGGUUGCAGGAAUUGACUUGUGAUAAAAAAUGAGCCAUCCAUAUACAUUGUGCCAAUGUCAGUUUUCUGGUUUUGAUAUUGCAUUAUAGUUACAGAAGAUAUAACUGUUGGGGGAAACUGAGUAAAGAGUAUAUGAGAUACUUCUCUGUACUAUCUUUGUAAUUUCCUGUAAAUCCAUCUGUCAAAAUAAAAAGUUAAAAAUAAAUGCUGGUGGAAAGAAGUUCUUUGAAAAUGAUACAAACAAACUGUCUCAUUAUGAUUCUCUGGCCACAAUCGACAUUUCGGAAGAGAGAGAUUUCAGAAGCAAAGCAGUGGAUGAUGUGGACAUACCAGGUUUUCUUAAAUUUAAUAGUGUGGGAGAAAAUAUGUGAUGGAAUAAGAAUAUCAGUGAGGAAAGAAAUUCGAGAUUGACCUUUAAGAGAGAAAGGAUGGCAAUCCUAUCAAGGGAUUCUUGAUGAAUUUCUGUCUUGAUGACAUCUCUUGUCAGGAAUAUACCUCUAAAAUAUGAAAUUGGUGAGAGGUGGAUGGGGGAUAGGUUAAAUGGGUACUGGGUAUUAAGGAGGGCACUUGCGUUGAGCACUGGGUGUUAUAUGUAUGUGGUGAAUCACUAAAUUCUACUCCUGAAACCAAUA